CGCAGGUUCGGGACUCACGCAGUGAGACAACGGAGCCGCUUGCGGCGACGGCCCGAAGGGCGAGCGAAGCGAGUCAUCCUGCACGACCCACCA
rnacentral:sRNA from 2 species